rnacentral:rRNA from 1 species
AUGUAGCAUUGCAUUAUGAUUAAAGAUUUAUUGCUAAAAGAUGGCUAUGCGUUCUAUUAGUUAGUUGGUAAGGUAACGGCUUACCAAGACAUCGAUAGAUAGGGGCCCUGAGAGGGGGAUCCCCCACACUGGUACUGAGACACGGACCAGACUCCUACGGGAGGCAGCAGUGAGGAAUAUUGGACAAUGGAGGCAACUCUGAUCCAGCCAUGCCGCGUGUAGGAAGACUGCCCUAUGGGUUGUAAACUACUUUUAUAGAGGAAGAAACAGUUCCACGUGUGGAACUUUGACGGUACUCUACGAAUAAGGAUCGGCUAACUCCGUGCCAGCAGCCGCGGUAAUACGGAGGAUCCAAGCGUUAUCCGGAAUCAUUGGGUUUAAAGGGUCCGUAGGCGGGUCUGUAAGUCAGUGGUGAAAGUUUUCGGCUCAACCGGAAAAUUGCCAUUGAUACUGCAGGUCUUGAAUCAUUAUGAAGUGGUUAGAAUAAGUAGUGUAGCGGUGAAAUGCAUAGAUAUUACUUAGAAUACCGAUUGCGAAGGCAGAUCACUAAUAAUGUAUUGACGCUAAGGGACGAAAGCGUGGGUAGCGAACAGGAUUAGAUAC